rnacentral:rRNA from 1 species
CGAUUGUACUGUGAGACUGCGAACGGCUCAUUAUAUCAGUAAUAAUUUCUUCGGUAGUUUCUUUUAUAUGGAUACCUGCAGUAAUUCUGGAAAUAAUACAUGCUGUAAGAGCCCUGUAUGGGGCUGCACUUAUUAGAUUGAAGCCGAUUUUAUUGGUGAAUCAUGAUAAUUGAGCAGAUUGACUUUUUUGGUCGAUGAAUCGUUUGAGUUUCUGCCCCAUCAGUUGUCGACGGUAGUGUAUUGGACUACGGUGACUAUAACGGGUGACGGAGAGUUAGGGCUCGACUCCGGAGAGGGAGCCUGAGAGACGGCUACCAUAUCCAAGGAUAGCAGCAGGCGCGUAAAUUACCCACUGUGGACUCCACGAGGUAGUGACGAGAAAUAUCGAUGCGAAGCGUGUAUGCGUUUUGCUAUCGGAAUGAGAGCA